UGGUGCGUAUGCUGCAGUUGGUGCUGCCUGCGCUCCCUGUGCUACUGGUGCUGCCUGUGCUGCUGGUGCUGCUGGUGCUACUCCCCGUGCACCAAAUGGCCUACUCCGACAAUUCCUACUUUUAUGUCCCAUCUUCCCACAGUUGAAGCACGUGAUGCACUCCCCAAAAUGAUGGCGACGACACUUGUCGCAACUAGGUUCUCCCAACUGUUCCCAUGUUCUCUUUUUUUUGGCUCUGAAGUCCUUCCAGUCUUAGGUGGAGCCUUAGAGUACUUUUGCUCCUCUGCAAUACAUGCCUCCUGCACAACAGCCUUCUCUACCAUAUCCUCCAAACUGGUGUAAGUAACAAUACUACACCUACCGCGGAGAUCGACUCGCAUACCAUCUAAGAACCUCCUG
rnacentral:lncRNA from 1 species